rnacentral:rRNA from 1 species
AGAGUUUGAUCCUGGCUCAGAUUGAACGCUGGCGGCAGGCCUAACACAUGCAAGUCGAACGGUAACAGGAAACAGCUUGCUGUUUCGCUGACGAGUGGCGGACGGGUGAGUAAUGUCUGGGAAACUGCCUGAUGGAGGGGGAUAACUACUGGAAACGGUAGCUAAUACCGCAUAACGUCGCAAGACCAAAGAGGGGGACCUUCGGGCCUCUUGCCAUCAGAUGUGCCCAGAUGGGAUUAGCUAGUAGGUGGGGUAACGGCUCACCUAGGCGACGAUCCCUAGCUGGUCUGAGAGGAUGACCAGCCACACUGGAACUGAGACACGGUCCAGACUCCUACGGGAGGCAGCAGUGGGGAAUAUUGCACAAUGGGCGCAAGCCUGAUGCAGCCAUGCCGCGUGUAUGAAGAAGGCCUUCGGGUUGUAAAGUACUUUCAGCGGGGAGGAAGGGAGUAAAGUUAAUACCUUUGCUCAUUGACGUUACCCGCAGAAGAAGCACCGGCUAACUCCGUGCCAGCAGCCGCGGUAAUACGGAGGGUGCAAGCGUUAAUCGGAAUUACUGGGCGUAAAGCGCACGCAGGCGGUUUGUUAAGUCAGAUGUGAAAUCCCCGGGCUCAACCUGGGAACUGCAUCUGAUACUGGCAAGCUUGAGUCUCGUAGAGGGGGGUAGAAUUCCAGGUGUAGCGGUGAAAUGCGUAGAGAUCUGGAGGAAUACCGGUGGCGAAGGCGGCCCCCUGGACGAAGACUGACGCUCAGGUGCGAAAGCGUGGGGAGCAAACAGGAUUAGAUACCCUGGUAGUCCACGCCGUAAACGAUGUCGACUUGGAGGUUGUGCCCUUGAGGCGUGGCUUCCGGAGCUAACGCGUUAAGUCGACCGCCUGGGGAGUACGGCCGCAAGGUUAAAACUCAAAUGAAUUGACGGGGGCCCGCACAAGCGGUGGAGCAUGUGGUUUAAUUCGAUGCAACGCGAAGAACCUUACCUGGUCUUGACAUCCACGGAAGUUUUCAGAGAUGAGAAUGUGCCUUCGGGAACCGUGAGACAGGUGCUGCAUGGCUGUCGUCAGCUCGUGUUGUGAAAUGUUGGGUUAAGUCCCGUAACGAGCGCAACCC